GAUGAACGCUGACAGAAUGCUUAACACAUGCAAGUCUACUUGAACUUCGGUUUGGGUGGCGGCCGGGUGAGUAACGCGUAAAGAACUUGCCUCACAGUUAGGGACAACAUUUGGAAACGAAUGCUAAUACCUGAUAUUAUGAUUUUAGGGCAUCCUAGGAUUAUGAAAGCUAUAUGUGCUGUGAGAGAGCUUUGCGUCCCAUUAGCUAGUUGGAGAGGUAACGGCUCACCAAGGCGAUGAUGGGUAGCCGGCCUGAGAGGGUGAACGGCCACAAGGGGACUGAGACACGGCCCUUACUCCUACGGGAGGCAGCAGUGGGGAAUAUUGGACAAUGGACCAAAAGUCUGAUCCAGCAAUUCUGUGUGCACGAUGACGUUUUUCGGAAUGUAAAGUGCUUUCAGUUGGGAAGAAAAAAAUGACGGUACCAACAGAAGAAGUGACGGCUAAAUACGUG
rnacentral:rRNA from 1 species